AGUCGAACGGCAGCACAGUAAGAGCUUGCUCUUACGGGUGGCGAGUGGCGGACGGGUGAGGAAUGCAUCGGAAUCUACUCUGUCGUGGGGGAUAACGUAGGGAAACUUACGCUAAUACCGCAUACGACCUACGGGUGAAAGCAGGGGAUCUUCGGACCUUGCGCGAUUGAAUGAGCCGAUGCCCGAUUAGCUAGUUGGCGGGGUAAGAGCCCACCAAGGCGACGAUCGGUAGCUGGUCUGAGAGGAUGAUCAGCCACACUGGAACUGAGACACGGUCCAGACUCCUACGGGAGGCAGCAGUGGGGAAUAUUGGACAAUGGGCGCAAGCCUGAUCCAGCCAUACCGCGUGGGUGAAGAAGGCCUUCGGGUUGUAAAGCCCUUUUGUUGGGAAAGAAAAGCAGUCGGUUAAUACCCGAUUGUUCUGACGGUACCCAAAGAAUAAGCACCGGCUAACUUCGUGCCAGCAGCCGCGGUAAUACGAAGGGUGCAAGCGUUACUCGGAAUUACUGGGCGUAAAGCGUGCGUAGGUGGUUGUUUAAGUCUGUCGUGAAAGCCCUGGGCUCAACCUGGGAAUUGCGAUGGAAACUGGGCGACUAGAGUGUGGCAGAGGGUAGUGGAAUUCCUGGUGUAGCAGUGAAAUGCGUAGAGAUCAGGAGGAACAUCCGUGGCGAAGGCGACUGCCUGGGCCAACACUGACACUGAG
rnacentral:rRNA from 1 species